rnacentral:rRNA from 1 species
GAUGAACGCUGGCGGCGUGCCUAAUACAUGCAAGUCGAGCGAACAGACGAGGAGCUUGCUCCUCUGACGUUAGCGGCGGACGGGUGAGUAACACGUGGAUAACCUACCUAUAAGACUGGGAUAACUUCGUGAAACCGGAGCUAAUACCGGAUAAUAUAUUGAACCGCAUGGUUCAAUAGUGAAAGACGGCUUUGCUGUCACUUAUAGAUGGAUCCGCGCCGCAUUAGCUAGUUGGUAAGGUAACGGCUUACCAAGGCAACGAUGCGUAGCCGACCUGAGAGGGUGAUCGGCCACACUGGAACUGAGACACGGUCCAGACUCCUACGGGAGGCAGCAGUAGGGAAUCUUCCGCAAUGGGCGAAAGCUUGACGGAGCAACGCCGCGUGAGUGAUGAAGGUCUUCGGAUCGUAAAACUCUGUUAUUAGGGAAGAACAAAUGUGUAAGUAACUAUGCACGUCUUGACGGUACCUAAUCAGAAAGCCACGGCUAACUACGUG